GUGGAUAUAGCGCAGUUGGUUAGCGUGCCAGGUUGUGGCCCUGGAGGUCGUGGGUUCGAAUCCCACUAUUCACCCCA
rnacentral:tRNA from 4 species